rnacentral:rRNA from 1 species
UACGAAGGGGGCUAGCGUUGCUCGGAAUCACUGGGGCGUAAAGGGUGCGUAGGCGGGUCUUUUAAGUCAGGGGUGAAAUCCUGGAGCUCAACUCCAGAACUGCCUUUGAUACUGAAGAUCUUGAGUUCGGGAGAGGUGAGUGGAACUGCGAGUGUAGAGGUGAAAUUCGUAGAUAUUCGCAAGAACACCCGUGGCGAAGGCGGCUCUCUGGGACGGUACUGACGCUGAGACGCGAAAGCGUGGGGAGCGAACAGG